ACCCGCUGAACUUAAGCAUAUCAAUAAGCGGAGGAAAAGAAACCAACAGGGAUUGCCCUAGUAACGGCGAGUGAAGCGGCGACAGCUCAAAUUUGAAAUCUGGCUCUUUUAGAGUCCGAGUUGUAAUUUGCAGAGGGCGCUUUGGCUUUGGCAGCGGUCCAAGUUCCUUGGAACAGGACGUCACAGAGGGUGAGAAUCCCGUACGUGGUCGCUGGCUAUUGCCGUGUAAAGCCCCUUCGACGAGUCGAGUUGUUUGGGAAUGCAGCUCUAAAUGGGAGGUACAUUUCUUCUAAAGCUAAAUAUUGGCCAGAGACCGAUAGCGCACAAGUAGAGUGAUCGAAAGAUGAAAAGCACUUUGGAAAGAGAGUCAAACAGCACGUGAAAUUGUUGAAAGGGAAGCGCUUGCAGCCAGACUUGCUUACAGUUGCUCAUCCGGGCUUUUGCCCGGUGCACUCUUCUGUAGGCAGGCCAGCAUCAGUUUGGGCGGUAGGAUAAAGGUCUCUGUCACGUACCUCUCUUCGGGGAGGCCUUAUAGGGGAGACGACAUACUACCAGCCUGGACUGAGGUCCGCGCAUCUGCUAGGAUGCUGGCGUAAUGGCUGU
rnacentral:rRNA from 1 species